GGUCAAGCGAAUAAGUGCAUGUGGUGGAUGCCUUGGCGAUCACAGGCGAUGAAGGACGUAGUAGCUUGCGAAAAGCUGCGGGGAGCUGGCAAACGAGCUUUGAUCCGCAGAUGUCCGAAUGGGGAAACCCGGCCCGUAUGGGUCAUCCCUUGCUGAAUACAUAGGCAAGGGAGGCGAACGCAGUGAACUGAAACAUCUAAGUAGCUGCAGGAAAAGAAAUCAACCGAGAUUCCCAAAGUAGUGGCGAGCGAAAUGGGAACAGCCUUGUACUCUUUAGCAGUAUUGUUAGCGGAACGGAAUGGAAAGUCCGGCCAUAGUGGGUGAUAGCCCCGUACGCGAAAACAGUAUUGUGGAACUAGGUGUACGACAAGUAGGGCGGGACACGUGAAAUCCUGUCUGAAGAUGGGGGACCAUCCUCCAAGGCUAAAUACUCGUGAUCGACCGAUAGUGAACCAGUACCGUGAGGGAAAGGCGAAAAGAACCCCGGGAGGGGAGUGAAAUAGAUCCUGAAACCGCAUGCAUACAAACAGUCGGAGCCUGGAAACGGGUGACGGCGUACCUUUUGUAUAAUGGGUCAGCGACUUACAUUCAGUGGCAAGCUUAACCGAUUAGGGAAGGCGUAGCGAAAGCGAGUCCGAAUAGGGCGUUCAGUCGCUGGGUGUAGACCCGAAACCAAGUGAUCUAUCCAUGGCCAGGUUGAAGGUGCGGUAACACGUACUGGAGGACCGAACCCACUAACGUUGAAAAGUUAGGGGAUGAGCUGUGGAUAGGGGUGAAAGGCUAAACAAACUUGGAAAUAGCUGGUUCUCUCCGAAAACUAUUUAGGUAGUGCCUCGUGUCUCACCUUCGGGGGUAGAGCACUGUCAUGGUUGGGGGGUCUAUUGCUGAUUACCCCGCCAUAGCAAACUCCGAAUACCGAAGAGUGCAAUCACGGGAGACAGACAUCGGGUGCUAACGUCCGGUGUCAAGAGGGAAACAACCCAGACCGCCAGCUAAGGUCCCUAAGAUUGGCUAAGUGGGAAACGAAGUGGGAAGGCUAAAACAGUCAGGAGGUUGGCUUAGAAGCAGCCACCCUUUAAAGAAAGCGUAAUAGCUCACUGAUCGAGUCGUCCUGCGCGGAAGAUGUAACGGGGCUAAGCCAGUCACCGAAGCUGCGGAUGCACGUAAGUGCAUGGUAGGAGAGCGUUCUGUAAGCCUGUGAAGGUGUCUUGUAAAGGAUGCUGGAGGUAUCAGAAGUGCGAAUGCUGACAUGAGUAGCGAUAAAGGGGGUGAAAGGCCCCCUCGCCGUAAGCCCAAGGUUUCCUACGCAACGUUCAUCGGCGUAGGGUGAGUCGGCCCCUAAGGCGAGGCAGAGAUGCGUAGCUGAUGGGAAGCAGGUUAAUAUUCCUGCACCGUCGUAUGAUGCGAUGGGGGGACGGAUCGCGGAAGGUUGUCCGGGUGUUGGAAGUCCCGGUCCCUACAUUGGAGAUGGCACUUAGGCAAAUCCGGGUGCGUGAUUCAAGGGUGUGGGGCGAGCGACGUUAGGUCGCGAAGCAAUUGGAAGUGGUUCCAAGAAAAGCCUCUAAGCUUCAGUCAUACGAGACCGUACCGCAAACCGACACAGGUGGGCGAGAUGAGUAUUCUAAGGCGCUUGAGAGAACUCGGGAGAAGGAACUCGGCAAAUUGGUACCGUAACUUCGGGAUAAGGUACGCCCUUGUAGUUUGACUGGCUCGCGCCAGAAGGAUGAAGGGGUUGCAAUAAAAUGGUGGCUGCGACUGUUUAAUAAAAACACAGCACUCUGCAAACACGAAAGUGGACGUAUAGGGUGUGACGCCUGCCCGGUGCCGGAAGAUUAAAUGAUGGGGUGCAAGCUCUUGAUUGAAGUCCCGGUAAACGGCGGCCGUAACUAUAACGGUCCUAAGGUAGCGAAAUUCCUUGUCGGGUAAGUUCCGACCUGCACGAAUGGCGUAACGAUGGCCACACUGUCUCCUCCCGAGACUCAGCGAAGUUGAAGUGUUUGUGAUGAUGCAAUCUCCCCGCGGCUAGACGGAAAGACCCCAUGAACCUUUACUGUAGCUUUGCAUUGGACUUUGAACCGAUCUGUGUAGGAUAGGUGGGAGGCUUUGAAACCGGGACGCUAGUUUCGGUGGAGCCGACCUUGAAAUACCACCCUGGUUUGUUUGAGGUUCUAACCUUGGCCCGUGAAUCCGGGUCGGGGACAGUGCAUGGUAGGCAGUUUGACUGGGGCGGUCUCCUCCCAAAGUGUAACGGAGGAGUUCGAAGGUACGCUUGGUACGGUCGGACAUCGUACCUAAAGUGCAAUGGCAAAAGCGUGCUUAACUGCGAGACCGACAAGUCGAGCAGGUGCGAAAGCAGGACAUAGUGAUCCGGUGGUUCUGUAUGGAAGGGCCAUCGCUCAACGGAUAAAAGGUACUCUGGGGAUAACAGGCUGAUACCGCCCAAGAGUUCAUAUCGACGGCGGUGUUUGGCACCUCGAUGUCGGCUCAUCUCAUCCUGGGGCUGUAGCCGGUCCCAAGGGUAUGGCUGUUCGCCAUUUAAAGAGGUACGUGAGCUGGGUUUAAAACGUCGUGAGACAGUUUGGUCCCUAUCUGCCGUGGGCGUUGGAAUCUUGACGGGGGCUGCUCCUAGUACGAGAGGACCGGAGUGGACGUACCGCUGGUGUACCUGUUGUCUCGCCAGAGGCAUCGCAGGGUAGCUAUGUACGGAAGAGAUAACCGCUGAAAGCAUCUAAGCGGGAAACUCGCCUGAAGAUGAGGAUUCCCUGGAGACUUGAUCUCCCUGAAGGGUCGUUCGAGACCAGGACGUUGAUAGGCUGGGUGUGGAAGCGCAGUAAUGCGUUCAGCUAACCAGUACUAAUUGCCCGUGCGGCUUGAUCCU
rnacentral:rRNA from 1 species